GAUGAACGCUGGCGGCGUGCUUAACACAUGCAAGUCGAACGGUGUACACGGAGCUUGCUCUGUGGGAUCAGUGGCGAACGGGUGAGUAACACGUGAGCAACCUGCCCCUGACUCUGGGAUAAGCGCUGGAAACGGCGUCUAAUACUGGAUAUGUGACGUGACCGCAUGGUCUGCGUUUGGAAAGAUUUUUCGGUUGGGGAUGGGCUCGCGGCCUAUCAGCUUGUUGGUGAGGUAAUGGCUCACCAAGGCGUCGACGGGUAGCCGGCCUGAGAGGGUGACCGGCCACACUGGGACUGAGACACGGCCCAGACUCCUACGGGAGGCAGCAGUGGGGAAUAUUGCACAAUGGGCGCAAGCCUGAUGCAGCAACGCCGCGUGAGGGAUGACGGCCUUCGGGUUGUAAACCUCUUUUAGCAGGGAAGAAGCGAAAGUGACGGUACCUGCAGAAAAAGCGCCGGCUAACUACGUG
rnacentral:rRNA from 1 species